UGACCUCCGAGGGUCAAAGCCUGUUUUCUGGUUCAGUGGGGAGCUCUGCUGGGUCUCUCCAGCCUGGAGGUAGAAUGGAAUUCAUCAUGGCGGACACCUCCAUUGGCCUUAUGGUUUCCAAGGCAUUUUCGGUAUAUCAUGUGACAGCAGCUCCAUGAGUUCAGCUAGGCCCACUUAGUCCCAUUUUCCCAAGGAGGACAUUCCCCUGAGGCUGAGAGGGGGACUGAUUCUCCCAGAGUCCCAGAGCUCGGGAGGGGUGCAAGUAGAGCUUGACUAGGUCUUCCUUGACUAGGAGCCCAUUGCUCUUAUCACUACCAUAAUGCAAGAACAUUCUAUGGUGGAAAAGGAAGACUGGGGUUUCAUCCCUAGUUCUGUUACCACCUUACUCUCCUUCCCGGGCUCUCAACUUCUCUUUCUGUAAAAUAAAAGAUCUGGGCUCCCUAAUUUCUCACUUUCCAUCCUGGCUAAAUUCUCUACUCCCCAGCAACUCAAGUUAGGCGGAGCCUUCUCUUUUAAAAUUGUAUUUUUAGUUCCCUGUAUCUCUCCCUGCACUCUCCUCCCAAUCCUGGAGGAGUCCAGGACACUUCUCCCCACCCCCUACUUGUGUCCUGGAAGCCUGGCCUGAGUCGAGGUGAAGACAGUGAGCGCCAUGGGUCUCAGUGAUGGAGAAUGGCAACUGGUGCUGAACGCUUGGGGGAAGGUGGAGGCGGAUAUCCCCGGCCAUGGGCAGGAGGUGCUGAUCAGAACAAGUCCUGGGUGGGAAAGCUUCUAAUCCUUCACAACCACUCAGGUGGCACCAUGGAAGCUUGUCAGACCCGGCGGUUAUUAACACCAUCAUCAGGGCAUGUCGGAACGGUCUAUUUCCUCUUCAUUAGUUGAAAUUGGUAUAUAUGUUUUCCUGAGGCAUCCAUUAUAGCUCACACCAUAUGGCUGCAAUUCAAUAUAAAUAAAUAGGAUACGUGUGAUAUGCCUCUUGGAAAA
rnacentral:lncRNA from 1 species